UGAUUUUGCAAAAGGUUGAAUCUAGUCUCAAUGAUCAAUGGGAUCAAGAGGAUAAUGAAAUCAUUGGACUUAAGCCCGAGAGCCCAAUAGCACCAAUUAAUCAGCCCAUAACUUAAAACCAAUUAGCCUACAAUUCAAAUUAAACAGCCCACGUCUUCUACUUCGAAUCAAUUUUAGACUGCCCAAAUCAAGUCCAAAAAUUGGCGGAAAUAUUGGCAACGAAGUGCAAUCCGUU
rnacentral:lncRNA from 1 species